AGAACGAACGCUGAUGGCGUGCCUCAUACAUGCAAGUCGAGCGCGUAGUUUUAGCAAUAAAGCUGCGAGCGGCGGACGGGUGAGUAACACGUAAACAAUCUGCCCUCAAGUGGGGAAUAACUAUCCCAACGGAUAGCUAAUACCGCAUAAGGAUGGAGGUGGCAUCACCUCUUCUCGAAAGGCUUCGGCCGCUUAAGGAUGAGUUUGCGUCCCAUUAGCUUGUUGGCGGGGUAACGGCCCACCAAGGCUACGAUGGGUAUCCGGCCUGAGAGGGUGUACGGACACAUUGGGACUGAGAUACGGCCCAGACUCCUACGGGAGGCAGCAGUAGGGAAUUUUGCGCAAUGGGGGAAACCCUGACGCAGCAACGCCAUGUGUGGGAUGAAGCAUUUCGGUGUGUAAACCACUGUCAGUAGGGAAUAAACGGUAGUCCAAGGGACUGCUUUGAAUGUACCUACAAAGGAAGCGCCGGCUAACUUCGUGCCAGCAGCCGCGGUAA
rnacentral:rRNA from 1 species